CAGAGGGAGGUGUGUUUCUCCGAGUCCCAAGCGAAGAAUUCACUCACUCAGUCCACGAUAUCUUGCAUAUUAGAAACGUCGGCGUAGGCUACAAGGCGGUCGUCAUAGAUUCCACCGUGGUUCUUGUAUGAGUGUGGAGAGAGAUUGGACUUCUCCCGCAGAUUGUGACAUCCACCGGUUGUGGGUUGUUUGCCUCGCGCUAAAACACACCGAUGGAGCUUUUCAAGAUAGAUCGAGGUUUGUUCUCUGUCAUGAUCUCCUGAAGAAAGAUAACGGAACGACUCUUAGAAAGGAGGAAGCCACUUUAUAUUCAUCUAUUGAUCUAUUAUCCCCGGUGCUUUUUGGUUCCCUGUCAAAGUUGUAAAGGAUCAGCUGGAAUGGAAAUAAUUCGCGUAUGUCUCCUGCCACGUCUGGACCGUUGUAAAAAGUCUCAAGAAAGAAUGAAGUAACCGCUAUGGAGCCGGACAAUGCCCCGUACUCCAAACUCAAAACAGCUGGAGUCGGGGGGAGAGCUCUGAUACUCUGGACUAUUCUCUAUAGUACCUGUUUUGUGGGACUAACACAAGCACACCCUGAAGAUGUGGACGUUCUACAACAGCUGGGGCUUACAGGGACGAGGACCGGAGGAGGUGUAUCGUCCACAGGGGCCCGCUUCGCACCCC